UGCGCAGGUGGGGGUGUAAGUCAGUGGUGAAAUGUUGCCGCUUAACGGUAAAAUUGCCAUUGAUACUGCAUCUCUUGAGUAUGGUUGAGGUAGGCGGAAUGUGUUGUGUAGCGGUGAAAUGCAUAGAUAUGACACAGAACACCGAUUGCGAAGGCAGCUUACUAAGCCAUUACUGACGCUGAGGCACGAAAGCGUGGGGAGCGAACAGGAUUAGAUACCCUGGUAGUC
rnacentral:rRNA from 1 species